rnacentral:lncRNA from 1 species
UAUAAAUACUCCCCAGGUUGACGAUACUAGUCACCAGUUGCUUAACACUUGAAGGACAGAGUGGAUCGUCGCCAGUGACAACGUCCAGGACAACAUGAACACUCUCGCUGUUACCGUACUCGUCAGCUGCCUUGCCGGCGUUCUCUGUGACCACAGCGGCUACGGAGGCGUGAGCGGAAACGCCGCCUUCAUCGGCUGGAUACGGCAGUAACGUUUCGGCGCGGAUACGGACACGCGUAGCGGGAGCGUACGGAGGUCACCUCGGCGGGGAUACGGAAGUCACGUGGUACGGUACGGAAGUAGGUCGGAACAGAUACGGAGGUCACCUGGGCGUGGAUACGGAAGCGGAUACGGCAGUCAUCUGAGCAUCGGAUACGGAAGUCA